GUGGGGUUUCCCAGGAAGCGGAGCAAGGCACGGCUGGAGCCCCUAGGGUGCGCUGUGCGGCUUUGGGCGUGUGUGGGAGCAGGAAGACCUGGUCCAGGGGCAGGAGGAGGAGCGGGUGGGAUGCGCUGAGCGGCAGGGGAGGCUGAGAGGACGGCGGAAAUAGGCGCGGUCACUGCUGGGAACCCUUUUCCCAGAGGAGGCCUGACCUUGUGGGAUCUCGAGAUCCUGGGGGGCGGGUGGGCCUGCGAGUCCCGGAAUGAGAAACUGCUGUGUGCCCCGCUUGCCUGAGGCCCCUUGUCCCAGACGUGUCAGUAUGGGGUCUGGCUCACCCCGCCUUGCAAGUAAAGCCCUGUCCUCAAUGCCGCCACAUGCCCGGUGAGCUGUUACGGAGGCUGCGCAGUCAAGCGUACGUCGUAUUUCAAGCCUUCCCCAUCAGCCGCAGCAGACCACGGAAGCUCGACCUUGGACUUCGGGGCAGGCAGGCGAAGAAGAUGGAGAUGUCAGUGACCUGCCAGCCCCGAUGGAUUCAGACGAUGAUGUUCGAGGGUGACCUUCUUCCUCUCUCUGCUACACCCCGGUCUCCUGUACCUCCCACCCCCCAACCUCUGACGACUCCGACCCCAUCUCACCACCGCCACCUCUCAGCCGGCGAGUGUGCUCACUGGAUCCCCACCCCGGGGAAUGACACCACCGUGUUCAUACAUUUCUACUUUCUAUAGGCUGUGUAUUUGUCAUAUCAGUCCUGCUUUGACUAUAUGUUAGAGUGAUUUUAGGUGUUAUUUGGUAUGAUUUGGUAGGUUAUUUUUUGGGUCUGGGAAUGCUCGAAAUUUUUACCUAUGUAAAUUAAUUGUAGUUGGUUCUUUGCUUCACGCCGUUUCUACUUAGAAAGGUUUCAUAGGAACGCUCUACUUUUGGAUAACCGGGGAGACCUGUUCUAACGAUUCACAUUUGCGUGGAACUCACAGUACAGAGGGCACUCUGCGUGGGCUUUGUCUCAUUUUAAAUCAUCACAAAAUUGGGGGGAAGUAGAUAGAACGUUUUUUUCUUUGUGUGUAUAGUAGAUACCUAAUUAUUUUUAAACCUCUUUUUGUUAGUGUAUGCGUAUGAAAAGCCAUACAUACAUAUGGAAAAAGACAAAUGGUACAAAGGAGUAACAAUAAAAAGAAACUCUCCCUUUCUGUUCUGAUCCCC
rnacentral:lncRNA from 1 species